AUGCCAAAGCCUUUGACUGUGUGGAUCACCACAAACUGGAAAAUUCUGAAAGAGAUGGGAAUACCAGACCACCUGACCUGCCUCUUGAGAAACCUGUAUGCAGGUCAGGAAGCAACAGUUAGAACUGGACAUGGAACAACAGACUGGUUCCAAAUAGGAAAAGGAGUACGUCAAGGCUGUAUAUUGUCACCCUGUUUAUUUAACUUCCAUGAAGAGUACAUCAUGAGAAACUCUGGACUGGAAGAAGCACAAGCUGGAAUCAAGAUUGCCUGGAGAAAUAUCAAUAACCUCAGUUAUGCAGAUGACACCACCCUUAUGGCAGAAAGUGAAGAGGAACUAAAAAGCCUCUUGAUGAAAGUGAAAGAGGAGAGUGAAAAAGUUGGCUUAAAGCUCAACAUUCAGAAAACAAAGAUCAUGGCAUCCGGUCCCAUCACUUCAUGGGAAAUAGAUGGGGAAACAGUGGAAACAGUGUCAGACUUUAUUUUGAGGGGCUCCAAGAUCACUGCAGAUGGUGAUUGCAGCCAUGAAAUUAAAAGAUGCUUACUCCUUGGAAGGAAAGUUAUGACCAACAUAGAUAGCAUAUUCAAAAGCAGAGACAUUACUUGGCCAACAAAGGUCCAUCUAGUCAAGGCUAUGGUUUUUCCAGUGGUCAUGUAUGGAUGUGAGAGUUGGACUGUGAAGAAAGCUGAGCACCGAAGAAUUGAUGCUUUUGAACUGUGGUGUUGGAGAAGACUCUUGAGAGUCCCUUGGACUGCAAGGAGAUCCAACCAGUCCAUUCUGAAGCAUAUAAGCCCUGGGUGUUCUUUGGCAGGAAUGAUACUAAAGCUGAAACUCCAGUACGUUGGCCACCUCAUGCGAAGAGUUGACUCAUUGGAAAAGACUCUGAUGCUGGGAGGGAUUGGGGGCAGGAGGAGAAGGGGACGACAGAGGAUGAGAUGGCUGGCUGGCAUCACUGACUCGAUGGACGUGAGUCUGAGUGAACUCUGGGAGUUGGUGAUGGACAGAGAGGCCUGGUGUGCUACAAUUCAUGGGGUCACAAAGAGUUGGACGUGA
rnacentral:lncRNA from 1 species